CAGAGGGUAGUUUAAUAAAAAUAUUAAUUUUGGAGAUUAAUGAUAAAAAUAACAUUUUCCGUCUGA
rnacentral:tRNA from 1 species